UCCGGGCGACUCGCCCCUGUAAGAAAUUAGAAAAUGCAACAAUAAAAACCCUCAAAAAGAAAAAAACUUAAAAAGAAAAAUGUGGCAACUUUAGUAAUGAAAGGUGUCACGCUCUCCACCGUGAAGACGCACGUCUCUUUGGGCUGGAAGUGACCGACACACAGCGAAGUACCCACAGAUCAUUCAUGGAAAGCCAUCUUCCAUAUUAAAAAUGCCACUGCUAGUACAACACAAGAAAAUAGAUGGCAGUAGAGUGAGCAUUGGCCAGACGCGAUAACUCCUCAGCGGACUCAACACAC